AUGACGCCCCCGCCGGCGGCGGCACCAUCGCUGCCUGACGAGAUUCUAGAGGAGAUAUUCCUCCGCCUCCCGCCGGACGAGCCUGCGUGCCUCGUGCGCUCCUCCCUCGCUAACAAGCUUUGGCUCGGCCUCCUCUCCAGCCCUGCCUUCCUCGGGCGCUACCGCGAGUUCCAUGGAGCUCCUCCCAUGCUGGGCUUCCUUCAUACCUGGCUGGAGGGUUGCGAACCGGAGGAGAAAUAUCCCGUCCCCCACUUCACCUCCACCACGAAUUCGCCGCGCGCAUUCCUCAUGUCGACGACUGGGUGCACCUGA
rnacentral:rRNA from 1 species